UACAGAAAUCAGUGAAGAGGGGAAGGAGUCAAGUUGGCAGAGGAGUAACAGGCUGAGACGACAUCAGGUAGCAGGAGAUCAGCUAGAUAGUUUAUCAAACCAUU